rnacentral:rRNA from 1 species
AUUCCAGCUCCAAUAGCGUAUAUUAAAGUUGUUGCAGUUAAAAAGCUCGUAGUUGGAUUUCUGGUAGGAGCGACCGUGCCGAACUUGAUUGUUCGUGUAUUGUGUUGUCUUCAGCCAUCCUCGUGGAGAACUUUUCUAACAUUAACUUGUUGGGAUUGGGACCCGCGUCGUUUACUGUGAAAAAAUUAGAGUGUUUAAAGCAGGCAUUAGCUUGAAUACAUUAGCAUGGAAUAAUAAGAUAGGACUUUGGUACUAUUUUGUUGGUUUGCAUACCAAAUUAAUGAUCAACAGGAACAGUUUGAGGAUAUUCGUAUGAACAUGUCAGAGGUGAAAUUCUUGGAUUUACGGAAGAUAAACUACUGCGAAAGCAUUCGCCAAGGAUGUUUUCAUCG